AUUGAACGCUGGCGGCAGGCCUAACACAUGCAAGUCGAGCGGCAGCGGAAAGUAGCUUGCUACUUUGCCGGCGAGCGGCGGACGGGUGAGUAAUGUCUGGGAAACUGCCUGAUGGAGGGGGAUAACUACUGGAAACGGUAGCUAAUACCGCAUAACGUCGCAAGACCAAAGAGGGGGACCUUCGGGCCUCUUGCCAUCAGAUGUGCCCAGAUGGGAUUAGCUAGUAGGUGGGGUAACGGCUCACCUAGGCGACGAUCCCUAGCUGGUCUGAGAGGAUGACCAGCCACACUGGAACUGAGACACGGGCCAGACUCCUACGGGAGGCAGCAGUGGGGAAUAUUGCACAAUGGGCGCAAGCCUGAUGCAGCCAUGCCGCGUGUAUGAAGAAGGCCUUCGGGUUGUAAAGUACUUUCAGCGGGGAGGAAGGUGUUGAGGUUAAUAACCACAGCAAUUGACGUUACCCGCAGAAGAAGCACCGGCUAACUCUGUGCCAGCCGCCGCAGUAAAAC
rnacentral:rRNA from 1 species